CCGCACACUAUUUAGUCUAAUAACCGGCAUAACGCUGAUUGUUUUAGUGGGAUUGAAAUUAUGAGCCUCCGACACGUUAUAGAAGUUUUUGAGCAGUACCAGAAAGAAAGGUUGAGGUUUGUACAAACAGUUGCAGAGCUUGCAACGAGACCUCAGAAUAUCGAAACACUUCAGAAUGCAGGUGUGAUGUCCCUUCUGAGACCUCUCCUCCUGGAUGCAGUCCCAACCAUUCAGCAGAAGGCCGCUCUGGCUCUAGGAAGACUCGCCAACUACAGCAUCGACCUGGCCAGGGCUGUGGUAACGGGAGACAUUCUGCCUCAGCUGGUCUACUCAAUGGCCGAGCAGAAUCGCUUCUAUAAGAAGGCAGCAGCGUUUGUUCUCCGUGCCGUGUCGAAGCACACACCUGAGCUGGCACAAGCCGUGGUAGACUGCGGUGCCCUCAAUGCUCUCGUCAGCUCCAUGGAAGAGUUUGAUCCUGGAGUGCAGGAGGCUGCUGCAUGGGUACUGGGCUACAUUUCUUCUCACAAUGGCUCAUUGGCUGAGGCAGUGGUGGAUGCAGGCGCUGUUCCUUUGCUUGUUCUCUGCCUCCAGGAGCCUGAUAUUGCCCUAAAGAGGGUCGGUGCUUCAACGCUGAGUGAAAUCUCUAAACACUCACCAGAGCUUGCACAAAGUGUAGUAGACACUGGAGCCAUUGUACACCUGGCGCAGAUGACCCUGAACCCAGACACCAAACUGAAGAGACACGUGUUCUCGGCUCUCUGCCAAAUCUCUAAGCACUCUGUGGAUCUGGCAGAGAUGGUGGUGGAGGCUGAGAUCUUUCCUGCUGUACUGGCCUGCUUUAAAGACCCAGAUGAGUAUGUGAGGAAGAACCUCAGCAUGCUGAUGCAAGAGAUCACAAAACACACCCCUGAGUUAUCUCAGAUGUUCGUGAACAUUGGUGGUGUAGCAGCUGUGAUUGAUUAUUUAGUUAAAUCCAGAGGAAAUAUGCGAUUGCCUGGUAUCUUGAUGCUUGGAUACAUGGCUGCACACUCUGAGAACCUUGCUAUGGCUGUUAUUGUAUCUAAGGGCGUACCACAGCUGGCUAUCUGUCUGUUGGAGGAGACAGAGGAUCACGUAAAGGCUGCAACAGCCUGGGCUCUUGGACAGAUCGGCCAUCACACUCCUGAGCAUGCAAGAGCUGUGGCCAUGUCCAAUGUUCUUCCCAAACUGUUGAGUCUCUACCUGGACACACAGAGCUCAGUGGACCUGCAAAUCAAGGCAAAGAAGGCUUUAAAGAGCAUCCUUCAGAAGUGCACUUACUUUCCAGCUCUGGAGGCACUCCUCUCCGAAGCUCCCAGCAAUAUUCUCAAACACGUUAUCUGCCAGUUCAGCAAGAUUCUUCCUCAUGAUAGUAAAGCACGGAGGUUGUUUGUAACUAGCGGAGGACUGAAGAAGGUGCAAAAAAUGAAGGCUGAGCACGACUCUGCCCUGCAAGAGUACAUCAACACCAUUAUCAGCUGCUUCCCUGAGGAGAUAGUCAGGUACUUCUCACCUGGAUAUUCAGAAGCACUCCUGGAAAGGCUCGACAACUAUCACCCUGUUUAGGACAGAAAGCUCACCUCCAUAAGUUUUCCUGCAACUUGACAGGAUCAACUGUACAUGACAGGAUCACGUACAGCGACAUCAGACUUCGUACAGCGGCAUCAGACUUCGUAGCAGGCCAAAAUAAAUUCUUUUAAAUGUGGAAGUAGGUCUUCCCUUGAUCGUGGUCAUGGGCAAUAUGUAAAACUUGUGCCCUGUACAGUUUUGGUCAUGCUCAGCGUCAGAGGGUGACCACUUUUGCAUGUACUGAGGUACCUCUGUUCUAUCUACAGCUACAGACAUACAAUAGAAGAGUUACUUGUCAAAUUUGAGUGGCAGCAAGCUACCCUCAUCCAGUGCCCCAUUUACCAAAAUGGUCUUCCUGUAUAGAAAUAACCUUAACCACUGACACAGUAUGUGGACUGUAAGGCAAAUUCUUGUCUUUAAACUUUGGAUCGUCACUACAGAUAAACGAAUCAUAAAAACUGUCUGCAUUUUUUAUUUUGCAGGUUUGAUAGCCGAUCAUGACACAUGCUAAAAGAUCACAUGACAGUGCGUUGCUCUCAUUCAUCUCAGAAACCCCAGGUUUUACAGGAGCCUUUGCACUUUGCUGCAGCCAAAUCCCCCAGAUCACCCGAGUGCGAUGCAGCACCCGUCUUGUGA